rnacentral:lncRNA from 1 species
ACAGCAAUGGACACUUAUUAGCAAUAGAAAAAAACUCUCAUUGGCAAACAAAGCAAUACUUCCAACUACCUGGAAUUAGUGGAAGACAAGACUAAUGGGCACUAACUUUUUGUUUUCAGUAAUCAUACUUGACAUUCUUGGAUAUAACAGAAGGAGGAACAAAAUAAGAUUUGCCGCAAGUAAGAUGCAAAUAUUGACAUGAGAAGCAUAAUCAGUGAGAAAUAUUAACUGGUAUCUACUCCCUACAAGUGAGAUUCACACAGCAAGGCACGAGGGAUGAUAGAGACAUAAAGUAGAAGAAGCCUGAUUUCCAAAUCACUGAGUAAAGGAGAGCUUCCUAUUGCUCAGAAAUAUCUACCUCGGACUUUAAAUAAAACAGAGAUAAGAUUGUACGUGUUUGAGUCGAUUUGUUAUAGUAGUUUGGCCUAUCCUAUCUAAAACCACUAACAAAUUAAAAAUAACCCAAUGAAUAC